rnacentral:tRNA from 1 species
GCCUAGUGGUAUAACGUCGGGCCGCAGUGCCAGAGGCAGUGGGUUCAAUUCC